rnacentral:misc_RNA from 1 species
UUAUUGUCUUCAUAUUUGAGCUUUGUAAAUAAAUGAAGGCCAACAUUACAAUUUUUUUUGUUUUAACUUAACAAACAAUUCAAUUUUUAAGUUCCUUGGAGGUUUUUCCCUCGAAAUUUUUUUUACCCCAAAACCUGAUUGCAAAUCCUAAUUACAGAUGAAGCAAGUCUGAAGAAAAAAGCCAUUAACCAAAGCCUGUUAAAAGAGAAAGCUGGCUGUUGUAGUUUUCUCAGAGUACAUGAAACAAAACUUUGUACUGUUGGCCUGAUUAAACUAAAGUUGCUUUAUUUUGAAUAACAAGGAGAAUGGUGGUACUGUUUAUGUUGAUCGCCAUGGAGAUGAUGAUUUUAAGGAUGUUGCAAUUUUAGUGCAAUUUAUGAUAUAUGCUUUUUUCAUAAUAUAAACAUUCAUGGUUGAUAUUGUGGGUUAUUUUGAUAUGAUGUUGAUGAUGAAUUUGCAAUUGAUGAUGAUGAUGAAUAAUUUAUUGUUCUUGAUUGUGAAGAUGAUAGUAGUAAAGGGGAUGGGUGGGGAUGGGUCUAUUUUAGAAUGAUUUACUAUUAUAGUAUUACUGUCAAGUUGUGGCUUUUUUUUUGUCGUUAAUUCAUGCAAGGAAUAGUUGAGACUUUUUUCAGCAAACAUUUGUUAGUUCGCUUUUUACAAAAUUAUGUUUUCUAAAAAGAAAUAAAAAGCUGUAAAAU